AGGAAAGUAAUUUAAAAAAAAUAUUAAAUCGAUAAUAUAAAAAUAUAGGCUAAAAUCCUAUCUUUCCAA
rnacentral:tRNA from 1 species